AAAUUGAAGAGUUUGAUCAUGGCUCAGAUUGAACGCUGGCGGCAGGCCUAACACAUGCAAGUCGAACGGUAACAGGAAGCAGCUUGCUGCUUUGCUGACGAGUGGCGGACGGGUGAGUAAUGUCUGGGAAACUGCCUGAUGGAGGGGGAUAACUACUGGAAACGGUAGCUAAUACCGCAUAACGUCGCAAGACCAAAGAGGGGGACCUUCGGGCCUCUUGCCAUCGGAUGUGCCCAGAUGGGAUUAGCUAGUAGGUGGGGUAACGGCUCACCUAGGCGACGAUCCCUAGCUGGUCUGAGAGGAUGACCAGCCACACUGGAACUGAGACACGGUCCAGACUCCUACGGGAGGCAGCAGUGGGGAAUAUUGCACAAUGGGCGCAAGCCUGAUGCAGCCAUGCCGCGUGUAUGAAGAAGGCCUUCGGGUUGUAAAGUACUUUCAGCGGGGAGGAAGGUGUUGAGGUUAAUAACCUCAGCAAUUGACGUUACCCGCAGAAGAAGCACCGGCUAACUCCGUGCCAGCAGCCGCGGUAAUACGGAGGGUGCAAGCGUUAAUCGGAAUUACUGGGCGUAAAGCGCACGCAGGCGGUCUGUCAAGUCGGAUGUGAAAUCCCUGGCUCAACACGGAACUGCAUUCGAAACUGGCAGGCUAGAGUCUUGUAGAGGGGGGUAGAAUUCCAGGUGUAGCGGUGAAAUGCGUAGAGAUCUGGAGGAAUACCGGUGGCGAAGGCGGCCCCCUGGACAAAGACUGACGCUCAGGUGCGAAAGCGUGGGGAGCAAACAGGAUUAGAUACCCUGGUAGUCCACGCCGUAAACGAUGUCGACUUGGAGGUUGUGCCCUUGAGGCGUGGCUUCCGGAGCUAACGCGUUAAGUCGACCGCCUGGGGAGUACGGCCGCAAGGUUAAAACUCAAAUGAAUUGACGGGGGCCCGCACAAGCGGUGGAGCAUGUGGUUUAAUUCGAUGCAACGCGAAGAACCUUACCUACUCUUGACAUCCAGAGAACUUUCCAGAGAUGGAUUGGUGCCUUCGGGAACUCUGAGACAGGUGCUGCAUGGCUGUCGUCAGCUCGUGUUGUGAAAUGUUGGGUUAAGUCCCGCAACGAGCGCAACCCUUAUCCUUUGUUGCCAGCGGUUAGGCCGGGAACUCAAAGGAGACUGCCAGUGAUAAACUGGAGGAAGGUGGGGAUGACGUCAAGUCAUCAUGGCCCUUACGAGUAGGGCUACACACGUGCUACAAUGGCGCAUACAAAGAGAAGCGACCUCGCGAGAGCAAGCGGACCUCAUAAAGUGCGUCGUAGUCCGGAUUGAGUCUGCAACUCGACUCCAUGAAGUCGGAAUCGCUAGUAAUCGUGGAUCAGAAUGCCACGGUGAAUACGUUCCGGCCUUGUACACACCGCCCGUCACACCAUGGGAGUGGGUUGCAAAAGAAGUAGGUAGCUUAACCUUCGGGAGGGCGCUUACCACUUUGUGAUUCAUGACUGGGGUGAAGUCGUAACAAGGUAACCGUAGGGGAACCUGCGGUUGGAUCACCUCCUUACCUUAAAGAA
rnacentral:rRNA from 1 species